UUUGGUGCCUGGAGGCUUAGGCCUCGGGUGAAAAGGGAACCAGGUGGGAAUCCUGGACAGACGGUGCUGCUGUGUGCCUCCUAACGAAAUUCCCGCACUUGACCACUGCGCCACGACGUGGGAAGGUCAAGUGUCAACAAUGGGGUGGGGCGAGUCAGAAGACCUGCCAAGUCG
rnacentral:ncRNA from 1 species